AUGUGCUCCGACAUCCGCACCAGCACACUCAGCGGCCGGAUAACGCACGCUCCGCUGGGCAACGCCGUCAUCCACCGGUACCUGCGAGAACCCGACCUGGUGCUGGCGGACGAGGUCGCGUCGGAGUGUGCUGCCAAGCCCUGGGACGGGAUUGUCGCCAGGCCAUGGCCGCGGGCACGGUGUGCCCUCACCAUUGUCACCGGCUUGAUGGCACAGUACAUUCCGAUCCUCCGGAGCUACUGCGGUGGCCGGUUGCCGAUCAUCUCGCCCUGUUAUGCGUCUACCGAGUGCGCCACCGGAGUCAAUCUAAGGCCUCUCGAACCACCCGGCCGUGCGCCGUUUGCAUUGCUUCCCAGCAUCGCUUACUUCGAGUUUGCUGAGAUCCAGCCUCGUGAUGAAGAAACUCCUACUAUUGAUGACAAUGGCGAUCCGGGUGAGAUGAAGCUUGUGGAUCUUGUGGAUGUUGAAAUUGGUCGGUCCUAUGAGCUGGUUGUCACCACCUUUGCAGGUUAG
rnacentral:rRNA from 1 species